UGUGAAUCCAGCCAGGAAUGUGUGUC
rnacentral:piRNA from 1 species